AAUAUUUUCCUCAACCCCAUUUCUAGUCUGACAUCCUCUUCCACGUGGUUCUUGUUGUUCGGGCCUGCUUGGUCGCUGUGGAGGGUGAUCAGGACGAGGUUGAUCUUCUUCUUCGUCCUCGUCCUCGUCAUCUUCAUGCUUUCCAUGGCUUGGUCGUCGUGGAGGAUAAGAGGGAGUUUGUUCAUAUUCUUCGUCUUCAUCUUCGUCUUCGUCUUCUUGUUCUUGCCACUUGGGGCUGAUAACGCUGAGGCCUCCCUCCACUGUCACGAUCUGCUUCCUUUCGUCAUCUGGAGACCGAAGUUUCUCAGCUGUGUCCUCGUUGGUGUUGAAGGAUUGUGCUAAGAAAUGUUUGCUGAAGCCACUGAGCACACUGCCACCUUCUUCCUCCUGCUGCUGGUGUUGCCCCUGCUUGCGUCCACCAUGACUCUUCUGCUGCUGCUGUUGUUGCAUGGUCUCUGGGUGCUCUAUAUCUGGGUUCCCAGCAAGGUAAAAUACCUUGAAAGUAAUUAAAAAAAUUAACAUGUGAGGAGAACAUGUUUUUUUUAAUAAUAAAAUAAUAGUUAAUAGUAAAUGAAGUUCAAUUGAUAUCCAAUCAUGAUACAAGUAUAUAUCCAACUAUUUUAAACACUCCAUUAAUAUAACUUAUUUCUCUUUUCUUAUCACAUUAUAAAUUCUAUCCUAUUUAUAUGUAUUUUUUUCUUUUUCAUUUCUCCCUCUAGAUAUAAGAUAGUGUUCUUCAAACAUUUUUCAUAAAUAAUAAAACAUAACAUCCAAAUGAUGUGAUAUAAAGUAUAUUAAUUAUUUUAUUACUUAGUAUAUUUAAUAAAAGAAAAUAAUAAUAAAAAAUAUUUUGUUAGGUGUCUUUUUAAGUGUGUAUGAUACUAUGCAGUGACAUGUGUAUCACUGCUCAUUAUAAUUACGUACUCUGGGGUUUUGAUCAAGCUGAUUGUUGAAGUUGGAGGUGUCAAGAAGACUGAUGGCAACAACUGGUUCAUCGCCAGUGUUAUAGGUCCAGUAAGGAACACCAGGAGGAAUCACUAGUACGUCUCCUUCAUUGAAGUGACGAAUCUUCUGGUGACUGUCUUGUAGUUGCUGCUGCGACCUUGAGCCUCUUCUGCUUGAUUGCUGUUGUGGCUUCUCAAACGUCUCAGGACAUCCCGGAAAUGCAAAUCCAAUUGCUCCCUUCCCUGUGCAUCAAUCAUCAUCAAGCAAAACAAUCACAUUAAUUAUCAACUAAUUAACACUCUUUAGUCAUCAUAAUUGUUAAGAGUUCAUUCAUAUAACUUGUAAGAUAGUUAGUCAUCAAAUUGUGAUUAGACAUAUAGAUAUAUAGUAUUAUUAUUAUUAUUAUUAUUAUUAGUUUUAUUAGAUGAUACUAUGCCAUAAUGUGGUGUUUAAAACCUAGUUGAGAAAAACAAAUUCUACUAAAAAUGAUUAAUCAAAUUUUCUAGCAGAGAUUAAUUAUAAAAAAUUUAAUAAAUAUUUCAUAUUACUAUUAUUGUUAUCACGUUAAGCUGAUAAAUACUUCUUACUAAUAUUACGCACCUUGAACGACAAUGAUCAUUUGGGGAUAAGGUGAGUAAGAUGGCAAGUGGAGGCCGUUGCGGUUGAGGGUGCGUUUGGAAACAGUGACACCGGCGCAUUGCAGCUCAGGGUGUUGAGAGUUCCAUGUUUCAAUAAGACCACCUUCGGACUCAACGCGGUGGUCGGGUUCCAACGCGUUGAGGUUGUUGAGUUGGCACUCGUUGAACUUGCUGGAGGUAAUAGCAAAGCAUGCACUCGACAAGAGUAGCAAGCAAAGGGAAGAAAGAGAGAGAGUGAAGAAGGGCUUCCCCAUAUUGAACUAAGGAAAGUGUUAAUAAGUUUGAAGGAGUUGGUGAAGUGGAGAACACGAAGAGUGGCGAUUUAUAGUGAAGAGAGGAGAGUGAGUGAGGGACACGUCAAUGAAGAAGGGUUUCUGAGUUGGUGACAUUCUUCACCUUGCAUGGCUAUUGUUUCCAAUUUUGUUACACCUCAUACAUAAGCUAUGCUUCGUUUAUAUCUGCAACCGUACAUGAACAACACCAAAAUUGCAGGCACCCUGAAUGGUCCCCCUCUACAGAUUCUCCGCGUCUCAAAUUCUAUCCUCCUUAUACAAUAAGAUCAGCAUUCUAUUCAGUGCAUCAUAUUUUUUUUAUACAAUUAAUUUCCUUUAUAAAUGAGAUAAGGAUAUGAAAAAAAUGUGAAAUAAAAUAAAUAAUAUUACUGUAAAAGAUAAAAAAAAAGGUUUUAUAAACUGUUAAAUAAUUUUUUUAUAACCAUACUAUAUCAUCUUUUAUAUAAUGCGUUAAAUAUUAAAAAAGAAAAUGACAUCCACAAUAAUCUUAUCUAACUCCUGCAGCAUAAUUGUCUCUGUAAAAGAUAUAUAUCAAAUACUAUGAUGUUUAAAAUCUUUCUCAAUUUGAACUGUUUUACUGUAUAUGCAGUUCGUCACCAUAUAUAAGGUUGGCAUGGAAAAGGAGAAAGAGAGAAAUUGCUGCUUCGAAUCCAUUCUAUUCACAUUUAUAAUAAAAACUAAUAAAUUAACAUUUAUUUAUAAAAAAAAAUUAAUGAUAAAUUUUUCAAAAUUAUAUAUAAAUUAUUUUCACACUAAUUUUUUUUAAAUGUCACUUAGAUUUAAUCAUAAAUCGAAUUUUGAGUAUAUAAUUAUAUUAAACACUUUAAAAAAAAAGGUUUUAUUUCCCAUAAUAAUUCUCCUUGACUUAAAUAAGAUUACCUCCUUUUAUGAAAGGAUACCAAUGCUUUUAAACUUAAAAAUAAAACACUUAAUAAUGUGUCAAAAAAUCAAACACUAUUUUUAUGCCUAAUUGAUUACAUGACGAGCGUGCAUGUUAUAUUAGAUAGACACGCGUUUUACUAGAUUAAAUAUUUUUUAGUUCUUCAAAAUUUAGUAAAAUUCGUUUUUGGAUCCUCAGGUUUAAAGUUAAACGUUUUCAUUUAUAAUUUGAGAAAUAGACUUGUUUUCAUCCUUCAUACUAGUGACCAUAGGUGAAAUGCUAAUGUGGUCAAUGGAUUCAAGUCAUAAUUCGAUCACCACGUCAUUUCCGGUUCAUGUGACCUAAUGGUGUCACAUUAAAGGAACGAAAACUGAAUUUUGCAUUUAAGAGGGAAUUAAACAUUUAGAUUGAAUUAUUAAAAAGAUUAAAAUCGAACUUUAUACGAGAGUCCAAAAGUAUUUUAUUAUGCUUAUAUGUUAAAAUUCAAUAGAAUAAAUAAGUACUCUCCUAUAUGAAGAACCAUAUACUAAUUCCGUUGAUUGAGUAUUAGCUAUGUACUAACAGAAAUAAUUUCCGUUUUUCCCCUUUCUCUUUCUCGUUCUUGGAAAAGUGUGUGCAUGAUUUUUUUUUUAUGAAUUCAUACUCCAACAAAUGGUAUCCAGAGCAGGUUGUUGAAGGGUGGUCAUCGAUCGAAAGUGAGGUGAGUGAAACCUAAACACGAGAGACGGUAAGCGAGUGAAAACACGAGAGACGGUGAGGAACCUUAUCAAUGGCAACAACGAACGAAAACUUUCCGGCGAACUUUCCGGUUCUUGAUGGGAGAAAUUACGAUCAGUGGAGUAUGAAGAUGAAGGCGAUCCUCGAUUAUCAAGAUGUGUGGGAUCUGGUGGUGAACGGACUUGAUCCGCUGCCGGUGAAUCCAACCACUGCGUAACAAGCGAUAUAUAGAGAUGCGAAGAAGAAGGAUUGCAAAGGUUUGUGCAUUCUGCAUCAGUGUGUGAAUCAAGCAAUUUUUGAGAAAUUUGCGAGAUCGGAGACGAGCAAAGCGGCGUGGGAUGUUCUCGCGAGCUCCUACGCCGGUGAUCAGAAAUUGAAGAAAGUACGACUUCAAACUCUAAGGUGACAGUAUGAAUUGCUAGGCAUGGAAGAGAGUGAGACAAUUGCUACCUAUUUCACUCGUGUUCAAACCAUGACAAAUCAAACGCCGGUGAUCGGUGCAUUCGCGAUUUGAUCAUGUCACGGUAGCGAUUGAAGAAUCGAAGGAUCUAUCAACGCUAAAAUGGAGGAGCUCAAGNNNNNNNNNNNNNNNNNNNNNNNNNNNNNNNNNNNNNNNNNNNNNNNNNNNNNNNNNNNNNNNNNNNNNNNNNNNNNNNNNNNNNNNNNNNNNNNNNNNNAACUCUGGUAGAGGAAACUCUAGUAAUAAUUACAAUAGUGAACAAAAGAACAAUAGCAGUGAAAAUUAUAGAAGAAGAGGUGGAAGAGGUGGUAGAGGAAGAGGUGGAAGAGGAGGAAGAAAAAUUGAUAAGAGUCACAUUCAAUGUUAUAAUUGUGAGAAAUACGGUCAUUUUGCCGAUGAAUGCUAUAGUAAUCCAAGCCACCCUGAGGCAAGAUUGGCUUAAGAAGAAGAUGAGAAGGAGGAAAUUCUGUUAAUGGCAGUAGAGGAGGAAAUUGGUGAUGAUGGAGUGGAAGAAGUGAGAAAGGAGAAAGUAGAUAUAGAAGAAGUGUUAUAUAUGGUGACUGUGAAGGAUGAGAGUGAUCAUGGUGAUAACUGGUUCCUUGACACUGGGUGUUCAACACACAUGUCAUGAAAGAAGGAAUGGUUUGUUGAGAUAGAUUUCACUGUCAAAAGCAGGGUGAGGUUUGCUGAUGACAGGACUAUGAAGGUUGAAGGUGUAGGAAAGGUGAUGAUCAGGAAGAGAGAUGGAUCUAAAUGCUUUAUUUCUGGAGUGUUGUAUGUUCCAGGAAUGAAGAGCAAUCUUCUGAGCAUUGGACAGCUACUGGAGAAAGGGUACAAGAUGGUGUUGGAGGAUUGUGCCAUGAAGGUGUAUGACAAUGAGAGGAGAUUGUUGAUUAAAGCAAAUUUGUCAAAGAAUAGAACAUUUAAAGCUGAGCUAGAUGUUCUAGUGCAACAAUGUUUAGCAUCAACAAUUGACAAGGAAGAAUGGCUAUGGCAUUUUCGUUAUGGUCACUUAAACUUCAUUGAUCUGAAUAGGUUACAGAGUAAGGGAAUAGUGAAAGGAAUUUCUCAUAUCAAGGUGCCAAAUGAUGUAUGUGGAGAAUGUAUAAAAAGCAAGAUGUCCAGAAACUCAUUCAAUCAAAAUGUAUCCACAAGAUCCAAGAGGAAGUUGCAAGUUGUUUUUUCUGAUGUAUGUGGACCAAUUCAACAUAUGACUCCUGGAGGUAACAAAUAAUUUGUUACAUUUAUAGAUGAGUUUAGUAGAAAACUUUGGAUUUACUUGAUUAAGAGGAAGAGUGAUGUGAUUGAAGUAUUCAAGAAAUUCAAAGUUUCAGUGGAGAAACAGUGUGGAAAGAAUUUAGAGAUAUUAAGAACGGAUGGUGGGGGUGAAUAUGUAUAUGCUGAGUUUGCUGAAUUUUGUGAGAAAGAAGGCAUCACACAUGAAGUAACACCUCCAUACACUCCUCAACAUAAUGGAGUAGCUGAAAGGAAGAAUAGAACUUUGUUGAACAUGGUGAGGAGCAUGUUAAAGAGCAAGAAACUACCAAAAUAUUUGUGGGGAGAAGCUGUGAACACUGCUGCAUACAUCUUGAACAGAAGCCCAACUAGGAAAUUGGAAAAUAUAACACCUGAGGAAGCUUGGACAGGAGUGAAACCAAGUGUGUCUCACCUCAGUGUUUGGAUUUAUUUGUUAUAGACAUAUACCUGACCAACUGAGAACUAAACUUGAUGAUAAAGGAGAAAUGAUGAUAUUGAUUGGAUAUCACUCAACUGGAGGUUAUAAAUUGUUGAAUCCAGUAAACAACAAGAUAGUGAUAAGCAGGGAUGUAGUAGUGGAUGAAAGCAAGGAUUGGGAGUGGAAUGUCACACCAGAGAUAGAAAAAUAGAAUCAAGUUGAAUUGCAACUUGAAGACAGUGACACUGUGACUGUGCAAGAAAAUGAAACUGGAGAAGGCAGUGCUGAGGGGCCAAGAAGAUCUUUGAGACAGAGACAAGUCCCUCAAAGAUUAAAUGAUUUUGAAUUGUUGAAUGAUGGUGCAAUUAAUGAUGAAGGUGAGCCACUCACAGUGGAAAAGAAGCAGUGCAGAAUAAGAAAUGGAUUAAAGCUAUGAAUGAAGAGCUUAAUUCCAUAGAAAAGAAUAAUACUUGGGAGUUAGUGGAACUACCAAAGAAUAAGAAAGCCAUUGGAGUGAAGUGGGUGUAUAAGGUGAAAGUAAAUCCCAAAGGAGAAGUGGUGAGGUAUAAGGCUAGAUUAGUAGCAAGGGGAUUUCUCCAAAGGCAAGGCAUUGACUAUGAAGAAGUAUUUGCACCUGUGGCUAGAUUAGAGACAGUGAGAGUGGUGGUGGCACAUGCAAGUUUGAGAGGGUGGAAACUACAUCAACUUGAUGUAAAAUCAGCAUUUUUGAAUGGUGAUUUACAAGAGGAAGUGUACAUUGAUCAACCACCUGGGUUUGUAGUGAAAGGCAGUGAGAGAAAGGUGUUCAAAUUGAGGAAGGCUCUAUAUGGGUUGAAACAGGCACCAUGUGCUUGGAACAUGAAAAUAGAUAAGAGCUUGACCAAUUUGGGUUUUGUGAAAUGUAGGUCUGAGCAUGGAGUGUAUGUGAAGUCAGGGGGUGAAGACAUUAUGAUGCUAUGCCUUUAUGUUGAUGAUCUGUUAUUGAUAGGAAACAAUGAAGCAAAAGUGAAUGAAUUUAAGAAAAAUCUGAUGGAUGAGUUUGACAUGACUGACCUGGGUGAGUUGUCAUAUUUCCUUGGAAUUGAAUUCAAGAAGUGUAGUGAAGGAAUUGUUCUCACACAGCAAAAAUAUGCUACUGAUAUUCUGCAUAGAUUCAAUAUGCAACACUGUAACAGUGCUGAAACACCUGCAGAAGCUGGAUUGUGGCUCGAUAGAGAUAAUGAAGAGGACUUAGUAGAUCCUACUGAGUUUAGAAGGAUUGUUGGGGCAUUGAGAUAUCUCUGCAACACCAGACCUGAUCUGGUUUUCAGUGUUGGUCUGAUUAGCAGAGUUAUGGACAGGCCUAGAGUAUCACAUCUCAAUGCAGCAAAACGAAUAUUGAGAUAUGUGAAAGGAACAAUUGGUUAUGGAAUUUCGAUGCCCAUUAACCAUAGUGAAAAUACAAGAAAUCUAUAUGGCUAUACAGAUGUUGAUUGGUGUGGAGACAAAAGUGAUAGGAAGAGCACUGCUGGGUUUGUUUUUCUAAUUGAUUCAGCACCAAUUUCUUGGAGCUCGAAGAAGUAAUCUGUGGUUGCACUUUCAUCGUGCGAAGCUGAAUACAUUGUUGCUGCAAUGGGAGCUUGUCAAGUAGUGUGGCUUGAUACUUUGAUGCAGGAACUGAAGAUCAAAGAAGAAGGUCCAGUUGAGCUAUAUGUAGAUAACAAAUCUACAAUCAAGUUAGCCAAACAUCCAAUUGCACAUGGAAGAUCAAAGCACAUUGAAACCAAAUUUCAUUUCAUAAGAGACCAAGUUGCGAAGGGGAAAUUCAAGUUGAAGUUCUGCAGAUCAGAAGAUCAGCUUGCAGAUAUAUUUACCAAGUCCUUGAAAUCUGAAACCUUCAAGAAACAGAGAAGCACGCUGAAUAUUGUUGAUAGCAGGAAACUAGCUUAAGGGGGCGUGUUAAAAUUCAAUAGAAUAAAUAAGCUAGUUAUUGAUUGAUAUAGAUAUUGCCACGUGUAAUAAGUACUCUCCUAUAUGCUGAACCAUAUACUAAUUCUGUUGAUUGAGUAUUAGUUAUGUGCUAACAGAAAUAAUUUUCGUUGUAAUUGUUUUUCCCUUUCUCUCUCGUUCUUGAAAAAGUGCGUGCGUGAUUUUUUUUGAUGAAUUCAUACUCCAACAUUAUAUAAAUUAAUAACUUAGGUAGAAUAAAGAAAGAAAGAAAAAACUCAUGAAGUUGUAAUUUAAAACAAUUGAAGUCGUGUUUGAGUAUACCACUUUUACAGAAGAAGAAAAAUCAUAUUUGGAUUGAAGUGGUGUUUAAUCAUGCGAUUUUUGUAUACAUUUUCUUACAUGAAUCUUGAAAUUAAGAAGUUCACAACCCUUGAGAUAAGUUUUGGCUUUAUAUCUCUUUCGCUUCCUUUCUCAUUAUAAAUUAUUCUCGCCAAUUUCAACCUUGUUGGAAGCACUAUGCAGACAUUUAUUCGCAGAAGCCUCUGCUAAUGGCUCACAGGUUGGUUCAAACCAGAGUCAUGUUUCGCAAGUGGUUCGGUCUCUGCUAUCUUCAUUCACUAUUCAAGUUUUGCUAGCAUUCAUCGGAGCAAGCAUGUGGUGCCAACGAAUCAUCGUGAACGUCAUUUCCGUUGCUGAUUUCCUAACAGUUGUCUCUGGAAAUAGAACAUGAACUACACCACAAUAAUAUUAGAAAAACGUCAUUGUUCCAGUCUUCAGCAAAAUGCAUAAGGGAAGAAGCACGAUUAGGGUUCCAGUCUAUGCUUCCCAUGGAUCAUGCCGCCGCCGCAUGAAGAUUAUUAGGAAAACAAACUUCUCUUUAAUAUUCUGUAAUGGUAUAUAUAUAAUUCAGAAGAAGCCAACAGCUAGUCAAACCAUUUAAAUUAGAUAAAUGAUGGUGAUUAUCUCCUGGUUGAAAUUUAUUGUUAAUUGUUAGUUUUGGUCAAUCAAGAAAAAAAUCAUUAAAUAAUAAAUAAAUCCUAUCAAAAUCCAUAAUUUUUGAUAAAUUUUUAUUAAAUAAUAGAGAUAGUAUUAAAAAGAAAAUAUCAGAGAAAAAAUAUUUGUAAUAUUUCUUUUUAAAUUAAAUAACAAAGUCAUGUUUUCAUGGAAGACAACUUCAACCAUUUAAAUUUAAAAACAAAUCAUAUAUUUAAACUCGAUUUUAAUUAUUAAAAAAAUAAAACAAAAAUUAUAUUUUAAAAUACUACUUCUUUGUUGGAAGUAUUUUUUAAAAAACGACUUAUCUAUCUCUAGUAAAAAAAUUGAAAUUCCACCCAUUUUGAUAAUUUUUUAAAUAAUUAUCCCCAUCACGUAAAAAAAGUCUAGAUUUAUAAAUGUAACACAUAAAAAAAAUACCAAAUAAUGAUUUUUUUAAUGUUACAUUAUAAUUUGGAUAAAAAAACUAAAAUGAGAGAAAAUUUUCAAUAUAUUUCAAAAAAAAUAAUAUAGAAAAAAUUAUUACACAAUUGUAUAUAUAGACUUUUUUAUAUAAUUUUUUGGACUACUUUCUAACUUUAGAACAUGUGUCACACUUCUAAAAUGGGGAAAGAAAAAAAUGAAAUUCUCCGGUUUCAAUUUUGAUCAAAGCUCUAUCAGGAAAAAAAAAUGAAAUUCUCCGAUUUCAAUUUUGAUCAAAGCUCUAUCAGCCACUAGCUAGGUUCUUCUAGUUUGUUUGGAUAAUUUUUUUCUAUAAACAUUCAAACAUGAAAAACAAAUGUAAAAUGUGUUAAGUUUCUUCGUCAACAAAAUUCAACUUAAGAAUCUUAGCUUUAAUUAGAAGAAGUUAAAUAAAGAGAGUAUAUUAUAUAUAUAUAUAUAUAUAUAUAUAUAUAUAUAUAUAUAUAUAUAAAGUUUUUUAUCCAUAAGAAUCGAAAAUAGGAUUAAAAAAAUUUCAAUAACUCGCAUGAUACUCAAUCAACUUAGUUAAACAAAUUAAGUGCAUAAAAUUAUUUUAGCUUAUCAGAGAAAGUUGAUUUAUUUUACUUUUUUAUUUUAUUUUAUCAUAAAUAUUGAUCGAGAAGUUUAUCCAAAGAUCACCUUAGUCUACUUUAAGAAGUUCAAUGUGGAUAUUCGCAGCACACUUAUAAACAAGGACAGACGGUAAUUAAUCUCCUAAGUUACUCUUAUGAAAAGAAAAGUAUAAAGUAUUUAAUUAUUAUAUCAAAAUUAUGACAUAAGUAGUUAUAUCUAUCUUUUACAUAAUUGAAAACAUUUAAUAAAAGAACCAAAAACAAUAAUUAGUGUCGCUAGCCAAAUCCAUAAACAAGAUAACAAUUGGGUUUUAAUUGAUUGGGUCUCAAAUCAAAUAAUGGAUUUGUCUUUUCCAUGUUAAAAACUAAUCAGUUGGAAUUCGGAAAGAGGAAAAUAUUCUUUAUGAUCAUAAAUCAUUUAGCUAAUGGUUUUUCAUAAAUCAUUUUACUUUCAUAAUUUAUUAUGAUCAUAUUAUUCUUUUUAAGUGACCCUUGAAAAUAAAGAGUAUAUAUAUAUAUAUGAUCAAUUUUGUUACAAAAUUGCAUGGCCAUCGUUUCCAAUUUUGUUACACCUCACAUAAGCUUUUGUAUUUGUUGGCAUGCUUGUCAUGACCAAAGAAGCAAUUUUUUUGUAUGCUUCGUGUUUAUAACUGAGCAGUUGAAUGAACAAUACCAAAAUUGGAGGCUCUCUUUAGAUUCUCCGCGUCUCAAAAUCUAUCCUCUUCACAAAUAAGAUCAACAUCUCGUUUUUUUUUCCUGACAAGAAACCACCAAUGUUUUUCAACGCACAUACUAUAUAUGAUACUAAUUUCAUCUGCAUUAAGUGACUCUCGUUUAGCCCAAAAAAAUUUAUACAAGAAAGAAAUUAAACAAGUUCAUCCACUAACUCUAGUUAGCUCUCCAUAUAUGAAUGCAACAUACAGAAUCUUUUACUUGUGUCAAUCCUAUGAGUUAAUGAGAUCAACAUUCGAUUCAUAUACAUUAUUUUUAUAUAAUUUCUUUAGUAAAUGAGAUAAAUGGAUAUAAGAAAAAAUGUGAAAUAAAAUGAAUAACAUUGGGUCACACGUAUACAGUAUAAUCACACUUCAGUGUGCAUAUAUAUACGUUGCUAUCAUAUCAUAUUAAACUUACACGUGCCUCGCUUAUAUUAUUCGGAUUGUGAAUUUGGGCUACCAUGUCCAGAAAAUAUAUAGAGGCGUCGAUUUUAUACGUUUAUAUACGAUUGACCCGUAGAUCUAGCUAUCUUGUAAUGUUUGGAUUUCAGGAUUAUAAAAGCAUGCGCAGUAUAGUGAGCAGUGAGAGAAAGAAAAGCAAGAAUAAAUCUUUAAAGAGUGGGACCAUGCAUGUCUGAACUAUUUUAUUAGAGGAAUUAUUGUUACUAAACAUGUUUUAAUUUUAUUUGUUGAUACGAUUCCAGUAAGGAAUUAUGUAAAUUAUUACAUCUAGUAGAGGCUAAUUUUUUUAUUAACGUGUUAUUAGUAAGAAGCAUUUAUUAAUUUUUAUUAAAGAAUUUGACCGAUCUUAAGUUUUUCCUCCCAUAAUCUUUUAUGUUAAUGUUGUUUUUUAAUGAAUGAUUCAGAAGCAAAAGCAAGGAAGGUUACUGAGUGGUUGUCAUUAAUUUGUCUAGGAUUUCUAGGCGGAACAUGAAGCCUACAAAUAUGUUGUUAUGUGGCAUGUGAAAUCUCAAUAAAUCGCAAGAUGCAUGGAUUUUGUGCGUUGCAAUUUCAAUUUUCAUUUUGGCGUUAUUCUAUGAGAAUGAAUUUAAUUUGUAUUGUAUCUGGAGUAUCUGCUUGGGUUGUGAAUUUGAUUCUUUAAUGUCUGAUUGCCUCGCAAAUCGCAAUCAUGUGCCUUGGGUCUCGAGGUGUGCUUGUGGAUGGCGAAUUUUUCAUGCAAAAAAUACAAAAUUAUUCAAAUAAUACAAUUAAAAAAUAUUUACAUAUGAUGCAAUUCACUAUUCAAGGUGAGAAAGUUAUUUUUUUAUUUAACACAUAUUUAAUUACUAAAUUUACAAACAUAUUUUUAAUUAAUUUAGCGUCGGUUAAGCUGAAAAAAUACUUAUAUUAGAUUAUAAAAAAAUAAAAAUCUGCUUAUUUUAUUAAAAAAAAUAUUUUUAAAAACAUAAGUAUUUUUUUAUUCAAAUGUAUUUUGUGUUAUUUCAAUUUUUAUUGAGAUUAUAAAAUAUAAGUACAAAAAUGAAAAAUAUAUUAUAAUUAUAAAGUUUACAACAAAAUAUAAUUAUAUAUUAAAAAGUUAAACAAUAAUUGAAACAAUUAUAGUAACAUUUGUAAUUUUUCUAUAUUUUGCAUAGGAAUAGUCGACAUUAAAUUGAAUACAAAUGUGGUUAAAUAACGAUUGUAUCAAUUAUGCAAAUAAUUUUUGGGUUUUAUUAUUUGAAUAAUUUUUUACUUUUUUUAUUAUUGGGGUGAAAAUUUCUAUGGAUAGCUCGGAUAUGUCAUAGUGUUACCACAAAAUGUUAUUAUUGAGCAUUUUACUAUAUAAGACUAAACUUGGCACAAGAUGUGUUAAAAGUUUAGUAUAAAGAUUACGAAGUCUCAAGUUAGAUAUGGAACUAAACUUGGAGCAGUUAUAAUGCGGCGCUUUUGUUUUCCUUUUGAAUCUUUUGGCUUCUUUCACAAUUUCAGCAGAAUUCUUAAUAUUCAAAUUUCUGAAUUUACUUGUGAUUUAUGAUGCAUCCUGGUAAAGGAGUUUUAAAACUGGUGUAGGCUCAAGGUGUGUUUUGUUUAGGAAAUUAGUUCCAGAAAAUUUUGGUUGAGUUUGUCGCCGACCAAUGUUUUAAUUAACUUCCAUAAGCAGAUUCAAAUUGCUUUCAGUGACCAGCAACCAGAAUUAGACAUGAUUUAUUAAUCAUUUGUUUUUAUUCAGAAAACUUAAUGCACCAUGGUGCAUUUUCCAUUUUGUUGAUGCAACCAAUUGUCCAUAUUUUGACCACGUUCCUAUCUAUCACUAGAUAAACAAGCUGUCCCCCAAAAAUUAUCUCCAACUAAUAAUAUUACACGAUCAUCCAAUUCUAUUCCAUUAAAUUCAUGUGCUUUGAGUUCCAAGUGUUAAAAAAACCAUUAGAAACAUAUAGAUAUGCAAAGAAUCAACAAUUCUAGCAGCCGAGAACUAAAACCUUUGAAUCUUUAGCAGUGAGUAAAACGGGUCUAUUCUGCCAAGCAAUUUCAUGUUGGUAACUGAGUGAGGAAUGUACAAUAUCUUCAAAUCAAAUUGCUACUGUAACAAGAAGAACAUGGGAACAGUGGUUCUAGCUGUAGAUCUAUAGAACAUUUUCUUCUUCUUGUAGGUUCUAUUUUCAACUGUUAUCACUAUCUUCCCAGGUUCACUGAUGUAAAAGGAGUUUCUAGUGCUGCUACCAUCUACACUUUGGUUUUGCAGUAGUACAGUGUAUGAGCCUUCAUCAUCUGGAAUGAACUCUUCCUUGUAGGACACAUCCCAUCCCACCACAGUUACAUCCCACAUUAUUGUCACUCCAAGCUAGACACAUUCCAAAAUCAAAUUACAACAAAUAAGCAAAUUAGUCUUACAUGGUAAAUAAUAAUAAUAAUAAUAAUACUUUUAGGUACAUGUGCAUAAGUGCAUUCAAUUUUGAACCAAAAAAAGAUUCAUGUUGUAUAUACCUGUUGGAUCGGAAAUUCAACUUUAGAAACCGUACUUCCUUUGAUUUUAAGCUCUGAAACCUUAUCAGAAGGCGAGAAGUCUUCAUCAUUGUUCCUCCUUAGACCACCAUAUUCAGUUGGAAGGUGCUCUGGGGCUAUAAACCUUCACAAAUGACAAAUGUUAAUUAACUGUGGUUGAAUAAGAUUGAGAGAAUGGAACACUAAGGUUCAUGUUAAGCACACUUACUUGAGAAGUGUCUGUGUGACCUUCUGUGACCUAGCUAAGAUGAACUUCUUUUUAUUUCUCUGGUUCAUGAACCCUGAUAAUAGCACUUGAGAAGUGUAGAACCAAAAUGGAGCAUAUACUAUAAUCUGCAAAUUAAAUCAAAAAAUGGGGGGAAAGAAAAAUCAAUCAGCAUUCUGCAGUUUCAAUUUAGAUUAAAGCCUAAUAGCCACUAAUACCACUAUGCUCUAUUAUACUUUUAUAAACUAACAUUUUUGUGAAUGAUCUCAGGGUAGUAGUUCUGAAACAAUAUUAGAGCCUUUUUGCUGACUGAGUUGAGCUCCUUGGUUCCUUGCAUUGGAGUGUUCCUCAAAUCAAAAACCUGAAGUAUGGAUUCCACCCCUCCUUCUCUAAAACAAAGCUUCUUCACAGCCUUUUCAAUCAUUUGAAUCCUCCACCUCAAAUACUUGUCACAUGUGUUAUCUGAUCCAAAUGUCUUCUUGUAAACACGCCUGUCUUUGAAAAUCUCACAAGCAUGGUAACACACAGGACGACCUUCCCUAUCCUUACCGCACAAGAAUCCUGCAUUAUUUCCGAACUCAGAACCCAAAUCCUCAUCGGUGAUCCCAUCAACGUUGUUCUCGCGGCGCCACACAAGUGUCUUUUGCAGCAUGUCAAAGGCCUCAUUCACCUUGAAAUCCUUGGCCUUCAAGAAUUUCCUCAAAACAACAUCAGUGCCCUCAUGAGCCUUGCUUAGCAACAAAGGGACACCCCAGAGAGUAAUCUCUCUAAUCUGUUCCCUUGCCACUGCUAUUUCUUGUGGUGCAAGUUUCUCAUGAUCUUGUUCUCCUAACAAAUAGUUCCCAAGAAUGGCAUCCUCAACCUUGCAACGAAACUCGAGCAAUGACUUCUUCAUCUUGAGUUUAAUCUCAGCAGGACUAGGCGCCCCCGCGUCUCCCAAAGCUGUGGCAUCAAGAUCAUCGUCAUCAUCUUCUUGAUCACAAUCAUGAUCUUCUUGGUUCUUCUUCUCUUGGACCUUGAGACUCUUCUCAUCAUUGUUGUUGUUCUUAUCAAAGAAAUUGAUAACCAGGGGUACCCCAACAACGAUUUCCCCAUAUUCAUCAUUGCAACAACAUUCAUUGGCGUCGUUCAUGGUUGCCACUCAAAUGUUGUAAUUAAUUCUUCUCCUGCAUGCACCGAUCCUCCUCCUCCUCCUCCUCCUAGAUUAGAGAGCUCCACAAUCGUGAUUUGGACUACUAUAUCAAGAUUUUUUAACUAUCAGCAACUCAACGCGACUGCAAUUGGAACCACAUGAGCUGCAUUUGUCCGCGAUUUGCCACGAUGCCAACAAUCGCGAUGAAACCACGGUGACCGAUAUUUAAAACCUUAGAGCAUUUGAUGGAGGGAGGGGGUGGAGAAGGAAAGAAGAGAAGAAAGGUGGCAUUUACAUUACAUUAUUACAUGCAUAGAUGCAUGCAUGCAUGAGAAGGCCUUGUUAAUUUGUGACAACCCAAUAAUGUUGAGUGAUGAUGGAUCACUUCCCUCAAAUUGAGAAUGCUCAACCGUUAGUUUAGGUGAGUAGCGCCAAAUAUAGAUCACAAGUAAUGGCUUGGUUUCUUAUUCGUUGGCAAAUAAUGUUUUUGAAUGAUUUAAACCAAGUUGGCAUGGCAAGAGGACAACGCUCUUUUUCAUGCAACAAAAUCAAUUCACACGGGCCAACCUCGUCGUAAUCACAACAAACUUGUAACAUCCUGUUUUUUUCAUAAAAUAAAUAAAAAAGUGUGAGGUCGAGUGUAUUGUAUAAUUCAUUAGCAAUAUUUGCAUGCAAAAAUUAUUUUAAGGGUUAGACCUGAAUUAGGAAAGUGAGAUCCUAAUGGAUUCUUCGAAGUUUAGGCCUUCUGGGUAAAUAUACUCUAUUUGAGUGUUCUUUUAAAUCUAUGUUGAUCUAUAUAGUUAGAGUAUUUUCAUAAAACAGAAUGACCUUGGCUAGUCACCUUAUGAUUUCAUUUAGUGAGAGUGACCUAACAUACUCAUUGUAUGAUGUGUCUUGUUAUCUACUCCUAUGCACUCUAGUGUUGUUUAUAACUGACAUGAUACCACAUUACAUAUAGGAUUGAGUCUUAGUGUAUUUAUUGUAUAACACUUGUGUAAUGAUCAUUGUGACUUCUACAUGAUGGUGGGUAAUAAAUUAUGUGAGUGUGAAAUAUUGUGUUGUACUUGAGAUUUGUAAUGUGAAGGUGUGGAAUGUGAUUUUGUAAUUAAAUCAUUGAGACAAGUGAUGUUACGCAAUGAGUAGUAAAAUGAUGUGAAUUGUGCUAAGUUGAGUUUGUUAUACUUAUAUCAUAUACAUGUGUCUUCAUCUUUACCUGUUUAGGAAUAUGAUAAUUCACUAUGUGUGUUGUUUGUGUAUGACUAGGUGGAUUGUUUUAAGGAGCCUCGUACUGAAAGACGUCAGGAUAUAAUGCUCUGAUAAGAUGUGAUAUUGGGAUAUGAGUUUCUGUUUUAAUUGUAUGAAGUUCCAAACAUGUCAUUUUAUUUUAUUUUAUUUUAUCACUAAACUUGAGUUCUUUUGUAAAUUUGAACGGCCUUAUUUUAAGCCGAAAAUGUUUCAAAGAAGUUUUAUUUGAUAAUAGCAGAGUGAAUCUAAAUCCUUUACCCAUCGUGAAUUUACUUACAAUUUUAUUAAAUAAAAUUAAUUUAAUUAGAUUUUAUGUUAUAUAUAUAUAUAUAUAUAUAUAUAUAUAUAUAUUUCAUUUAUAUGCAUAUCAGUGUUGAAGAUAUCACAUCUUUGCAUUCUUUGCGAUCUUAAAACCUGCCUCAAAAAAAAAAAUCAGGGAUCAACUUUUUAUAUAUCCAAUAGCUUAAUAACCAGGGCCUUGCACUUGCACGCACGGGUGUUGAAAUUUUAAUAUACAAAGUAUUUUUAAAAUUAUUUUAGUGUAAAUAUAUAAUCAAAAUAUAUUGGAUUUGCUCAUAAAAUUAUUUGUCUUCAACAUUUGACCUUCAUCAAACACUUAAAAGUGAAGGGAAAAAAAAGUUAAAUGAUGAGAUAUGCAAGGCGUGGUCAAAGGAAAAUAAAAAUAUGUGAUAAAAGUAUGAAAAAUGAGAUGAAUGGUAAAGAAAGUAAAAAGAAACAUAAACUUACCCAUAAUUUCUUCCUUAUCAUGUCAUUUAAAUGAUAAGCCUUUACUGGAAAAACUAACAGUAGAGUAAUAGAAAACACAGAAGCAUGAUGCGUGCAAGGAUUGUCUAGGAUCACAAAAGUGCCACCAGAUCCUACGGGUAUUCAUAAAAAUAUCCGCUAGCAGGAUGAAAAUUAUCCUUAGAGUUGGAUACAAAACGGAUAUAUACUCAUAAGAACGGAUAUAUACCCAUAAAUUUUCAUGUGUAUUAGUGUGGGUAUGGAUAGUAUACCACCUAUAGUAUCCAACUCGUUUGGCCUUGCACAUAUUAUAUAUAUAUAUAUAUAUAUAUAUAUAUAUAUAUAUAUAUAUAUAUAUAUAUAUAUAUAUAUUUUGUAAAAAAUAAUUAUUCUUUUAUGACUAAUAUUUUAAGUCUCUAAUCUUUAACAAUAUUAUUAUAAGAGUGAAAAAUAUCAAACAUUUAAUUAAGUUAUUAGAAUAUUGACUUUAACAAUUGUUAUAUUGGAUGAUUAUUUUUGUAAUUUUAUUUAUUUAUGAGUUUAGAAAAACCAAUAUUAUGUUUGCUUGUUUUAAUUAAAUUUUAAAUAUUUUUAUGAUUUAUUAUUAUUAAUUUUAUAUGAGUCAUAAAUACCAAUAAGGAUAUAUAGUAUAGGAUCAUAUACGGAUAUUAUUUUUAAACACGAUGUAAAUCUUACCCAAGUCCUAUCCAUUAUCACCCUUUUGAUUGUCUAAGGAAAAAAGAAGUAGAAUAUAUAUUUAUUAUAAUUAUAAUUACCCUAAUAAAAAAGAUUAAUUUAAUUAGUUUACUUUAAAAUAAUCUUAUUUACCUCAAUUAAUGUAUAUUAUAACUACCUUGAUUUUAAAAUAGAAUAUACAUUGUUUAAAAUAGCCUACGUAACAACACUUCUUUUAUAAUAAAAAAAAAUUGAUAAAAGUUAUAUUUGUAAAAUAAAUAUAUUUUGAAAAAAGAAAUUAUAAUAAAUUAAUUAUUAUAUUAUAAAAAUCAAAAUAUGCAUAAUUACUAUAAUAAAAUAUUUAUACUGAGCAUACAUAAUUACUAUAACUACUAUAAAUAUAAUAAUAUAAUAAUAAAUAAUAUAUGUAAUAAUUAGUUUAAUUAUACAUUUCAAAAGAGUUUGAUUUUCAUAUGUUAACUUAUUUAAAUUUUCAAAGAUAGUAAUGCGAGAUUAUCAUCCUAUAAUAUAUUUUUGUCACAAAAUUAUCAUAAAUUUAAUGUUUUUUUUUCAAUUUGAAUCCAUUAUAAAUUUGAAAUUCGGAAUAAAAUAUAUGUUAUUUUAAUUAUAUAUAUAUAUAUAUAUAUAUAUAUAUAUAUAAUAAUAAUAAUAUAUUACAAUAAUCACAUUAAUUAUGUAUUUUAAAAUGUUCAAAUUACCAAUGAUCAAUCAUAAAAAUAGAUUAAUUGUCAACUUAUAUAUAAAAUCCCAGUAAUAUAUUUAUGUCACGAAAUUGAUAUAAAUCUUAAGCGAUUUUUAAGAUUUUGAAAUUUGAAAAUUUUGAAUUAGAAUAUAUUGUGUUAUAUAAAUUAAAAAGUGAUAUUGAAAACACGUGAUAUUAAAAAAAAUUGCCAUAAUUAUAAACCAAUAUCUAUUUAAGAUUUAAUGUUUUAAUUGAUUAAUUUAAUCAAAAUAUGUAUACGUGUUAUAAGUGUCUAUGUUACUAUAAUUAAAUAAAAUAGUGUAUUUUUUAUAAAUUAAAAAAUAAAAUAAAAUAAAAUAAUAGAAUUAGGCAAGAAAAGAAUGAAUAUGAUGAUUUCAACCGUGCACCUAUCAGGUAGGCAUUAUUAACCUUCCUAAUUUUGACCAGCACGGUAUGCACGUACGAAAUGUUAAACUAUAUUUUUCUAUAUACAUCAGAAAUAAAAGAAACGUUAUACUAUAUAAAUGUCAGCUGAUCCUGGGACUAGCUUUUUCAUAGAUUUUUUUUUCUUAUAGAUUCCAAUGUAAGACUUAUUUAAAGAAAAUAAUAACAUAUACCACGAACUAACCAGUUGUUGGUACCGUUCAAUUUAUAAAUGUUAGUGUCAGCGUUAAACUGUAUUUGUAAGGUUUAUUUAUAUAAUUUCUUUUACGAUAAUAUAAGAAAAAAGAUAAACAUAAGAUAAUAUUAUGUGAAUAAAAAAUUGUAACCAAAAAGUUAAACCAUAAACAAAAUUCAAAAAUCAAUGAAGAACAAAAAACAUUUUACACUAAAAUUUAACAUAAACACCAAUCAGAAUUUUGUGGUACAAACUCUCCUAAUCAAUCAGUCUGCUUGGGAAACAAAAUAUAUAAAUUGGAUGAUAGAAUUUUCUAAUUAUAGUUCUCUUCAACUAAAGAAGUGACGAAAGCAAAAAAUAUAAUCAAAGGAUUAGUAUCCACUUGACCAACCGCACGAGUUUAAUUAGUUAAUUAUCAUAUUGUCAAAUAUCAUUUUCUAAAAAUCAAACAUAAUAAGCAAAAAAUUCGUACAAGUGAUAAACAAGGCCACUACUUUAGGUUGACAAUUCAACAAUUGUUUCUUUGCAAAUUACUUGACAAACUUGGCCUCUUCUUUCAUUUAGUUCAUAAAGAUGCUUCAAUCCUUAUGCCUAUUUGAGCUUUAGGGCUAUGCAUCACAUGCAAGAAAGUAAUAGUCAAGCCAGAGAAAAAGUUAAAUGAAUAAAAUAUAAUUCAAGAACGAACGUUUGGACAUCUAGCUACUGUAUUCUACAUAAUCUGAGGAAAUCCUAUUUACAAUAGUUUUAAAAAGAACCCAACUGGUAACUUAAAACACAAGAAAUUGAAGAGGGGUGAAAAGAAGGAUUCACAUUAGUUUGGCCACCUCCAGACAAGAAAUAAAAAUGCAACCAACCUCUGAAUGCGGUACAUAUAACAGGCGGCUUAUCAACUGUACCUUAUGGAUGAAUUUUAGAACUCUCGGUAUUUAGUCAAAUCAAAUGUGAGAGUUCUCGAACAGCUGCAAAUUCCAAGUAAACCAGGUCAAUACACUGAGCUAGUGCCAUAAACAUACUAUUUAAAUCAAUUAAUGAUAUCAAGAAAUUUACCCUCUUUCAGAGUCUCUGUAAACCCCAACUAAUGCUUCGGCUUUGUCAUAAAAGGUGUCUUUCAGUGAUAUCACUAUACUCUGAAAACCAUUUCCACCAUCAGCAUCCUGACUAGUCCUUGCUCCUUCACAAGAUUUUGAACGAAUAAAGCCAGCAACCUUGGCAACAUUCAAGUUGUCCAAUGCAGCAUCAACUUCGUCCAAUAUAAAGAAUGGUGAAGGCUUAUAACUGAAACAAGAAGCAAGUAGGGAACCAUGUUAAUGGAACAUGAAGAUCAGAUAUCAGCAAAAUAGUUUUAGGCUUAUGUGAGAUGUGUCAGUAUAUUAGAUGAAUUUGUGUUAUUAAACACAAAUUCAGAGUAGUUACAAAAUAUUCUUGUUCUAAUAUUAGUACAAACAACUACCUAUGGAUGGAGAAUAGCAAUGCAAGUGCAGCAACUGUCUUUUCCCCACCAGAUAGCUGCUCCAUAUCACGGAAGCGCUUUGUUGGGGGCAUAGCAGUGUACUUGAUGCCAUGUAGAAAGGGAUCAUCAUCAUUUUCCAAGUUUAGGUAUGCUGUUCCACCCAGUGGAUGCGUGUUGCUCUUUGUAAGUUGUUUGUAAAUUUUAUCUAUAUUACCAGAUAUAUGGGUGAAAGCAUCCAUGAACAAGUGGUACCUGCAUCCAACACAAACUUUGGCUUCCUCAGAGGACAGAUAAGAUACAACAAUUAUCUAUUCAAAACAAGCUCCAAAACAGACGGCAAAGAAAACUCCCAUAUAUCUCAAUAUGAACAAUAAGUAACUAGAAAUCAAAGAUACACAUAGAAGUCAAAUAAGGAAAGCAUGUCAACUUUUUCUUCUUUUUUGUGUGUGUGUGUUGGGUUGGGGGGGAUGACAUAAGGUCAUAGUUUUCAGAAUUAGAGAGAUUCGCAAGGGGAAAUGUAGGACAAUACAUUUUCAGCAGAAACUUUUCCACAACCCCUUCAGUGAAAUUAUCAAAUAAUCAAGUCGACCAGGAGCUGAUUGACCUUUUUUAUUAGGAAUCUUUUAACAUAAGAUCAUAUUUUGUG
rnacentral:lncRNA from 1 species